AGGCAGCAGUGGGGAAUAUUGCACAAUGGGGGAAACCCUGAUGCAGCCAUGCCGCGUCGUGUGUAAGAAGGACCUUCGGGGUUCGUAAAAGCAACUUUCAGUAGGGAGGAAGGUAGUGUAGUUAACACCUGCAUUAUUUGACGUUACCUACAGAAGAAGCACCGGCUAACUCCGUGCCAGCAGCCGCGGUAAUACGGAGGGUGCGAGCGUUAAUCGGAAUUACUGGGCGUAAAGCGCAUGCAGGCGGCCUGUUAAGUCAGAUGUGAAAGCCCGGGGCUUAACCUCGGAAUUGCAUUUGAAACUGGCAGGCUUAGAGUCUUGUAGAGGGGGGUAGGAAUUUCAGGUGUAGCGGUGAAAUGCGUAGAGAUCUGAAGGAAUACCAGUGGCGAAGGCGGCCCCCCUGGACAAAGACUGACGCUCAGAUGCGAAAGCGUGGGGAGCAAACAGGAUUAGAUACCCCUGGUAG
rnacentral:rRNA from 1 species